rnacentral:tRNA from 1 species
GAUAAAGCUUAGGAGUUAGGCAUUUCAUUUACAUUGAAACAUUUCUGUGCAACUCAGGUUAUUUUGAAGG